CUACGGGCCGCUGCAGUGAGGAAUAUUGCACAAUGGGGGGAACCCUGAUGCAGCAACGCCGCGUGGAGGAUGACGCAUUUCGGUGUGUAAACUCCUUUUAUAUGUCAAGAAAAUGACGGUAGCAUAUGAAUAAGCACCGGCUAACUCCGUGCCAGCAGCCGCGGUAAUACGGAGGGUGCAAGCGUUACUCGGAAUCACUGGGCGUAAAGGACGCGUAGGCGGGUUGGAAAGUCAGGUGUGAAAUCCUACAGCUUAACGGUAGAACUGCACUUGAAACUUCUAAUCUAGAGUAUGGGAGGGGGAGAUGGAAUUAGUGGUGUAGGGGUAAUAUCCGUAGAUAUCACUAGGAAUACCUAAAGCGAAGGCGAUCUCCUGGAACAUUACUGACGCUAAGGCGUGAAAGCGUGGGGAGCAAACAGGAUUAGAUACCCUCGUAGUC
rnacentral:rRNA from 1 species